UAUUAGAUGCUUUAGCACACCCAGUAUUAUCAGAAUCAGAUAAACAUAAACAAAUUGCAGUGGCGCCCUCCAGCGGACCGCGCUGUUAACACCUACCUCGCUGUGAUUGGCUCUCUGAAGUAUCUACGAAAAUCACCGAUCGUCCGCGGUCCGCGGUCCGCGAAGAAUCCUGUAGACGAAAUAAAAGACGGCUAAUGAAAUUCGAGUCCCUUUAUAAAGGGCUGGACACACGUUCAAAGUGGAGCUUCAAAGUGGUAAACGUUUAGCCAAGAGUUGACUGGUGACGUGGCCCUUGAUGUGUUCACUUUGUAGCGGUGUUUACACGACUUUGAAGACUUAACCAUAAAAUUUCAUGUAAACAAACAUUAAAAGUAAACAAAGAUCGUGCUGAAGCAGUUUGAUUUUAUUAUUAAAAUGGAUAUAGACCGUGAUAAUUUUGCUAAAAAAGCUGUAGUGGUUGUUGCGGCUGUGGGAGCGGCGUUUUUGGCUUAUCGUCGAAGAAGAAGGAGACAUCCGCGCAGAUUCUGGAUGAGGUAUUGGUUCUUAAGGCGAGAUACCGAAGCGAAAGGCCUCCUCAAUGAAAUUGAGAGAGAACUGAGUAUGGAGGAUAAAGAAUAUUACCACAAGUACUUCAGGAUGGACGACAAACAUUUUGAUAUGAUUCUUAAUCACAUAAUUGACGACAUUCAGAAAAAUGACACAGUCAUGCGGCCGUGUAUUGAUGCGAAGAAAAGGUUGGCUAUAGCUCUACGCUACCUUGCAACUGGAGAAACUUUCCAAAGCCUCAGUAUCUCAACCCGAAUAUCAGUGCCCUCCAUCCGCAACAUUGUAACCACUACCUUGGUUGCAAUCAAGAAUCGACUAGGACCUAUUACUUACAGGUAAUUGAUCGCUGGAUGCUUUAUCACCCCUCCAUAAGUUUAGUGGUAUCUGAACAUAAAAUUUUGCAUAAAAGAGUAAGAAAUUUUAAUUUAAUGCCUCCAGAAUUGAAGAAAUCAGUUUUAGAUAGUGCUCUUUUUGCAAAAACAAAAUUAUUCAAUCCGAAUAUUAUCCAUACUUGCAUUAUUUGGUAUUUAAUUCUAAAGGUCAAAGGAAUAAGAGGCAACUCAAACUUAAGUUAGAAUACAAGUCUCUAUUCAUAAUUUAUUUGUGAAGGGAAAAACCUUGCGAAACUGCAGGAUAAGUUUACUGGUAUUUUUUUCCAUGGAAAAGUAGAAGUAGCUUAAAUUUGUUGCCAAAUAUUGUGGUUAGGUUCUCCCAUUAAGGAAUAUAACGUAGUUGUAGUCAUUGAAGUAAUGCAAUCGGGUUACAUCCCUAGAUGCAGAGGACUUUGUACUCUGCACUUUUUUGGAAGGAAGACUUUAGAAUUUCUUUUCUCUUUUUUAGGUGCCUUCAACAACAGCUCAUUGGGAACAAAUUGCAGCUGAAUUCUACGAAGAGUAUGGUUUUCCCAACUGUAUCGGCGCAUUAGACGGGAAACAUGUGGCCUUUCGGCCAUCGAAAGAAGAUGGGGCACAUUAUUACAACUAUAAAUGUUUUAAUAGCCUUAUUCUCUUAGCAUUAGUGGAUGCAAAAAAAAAAUUCCUUAUCGUGGAUAUUGGAGCCAAUGGCAGGGCUAGCGAUGGAGGGGUGUACGCUGCCAGUGGCAUUAAAAGAAUUCUGGAGGGAAACCGUUGCAAUCUACCCCCGCGCAGACCCUUACCGGGUCGUGUUGUUCCCAUGCCAUAUGUGGCAAUAGCAGAUAGCGCUUUCCCUCUAGGGAUGCGUUUAAUGAAACCCUACGAUUAUCAUAGUCCUACACCAUUGCAAAAGUUGUUCAACAAAUCCUUAUCAAAAGCACGGUGUGUCGUUGAAAAUGCAUUUGGUAUCCUAGCAAACAGAAUGCAAAUAUUUUUGUCAACCAUUAGUUCCAACAAUCCAGACUAUGUGGAGCUAGUCAUUUGGGCAUCUUGCAUUCUCCAUAAUUUUAUGAUGGACAAAGCCCCACAAACUUAUGGUGUCUUAGAUCCAGAAGAUGUAGUUAAUUUACUGGAUUAUGAAUUUCGUGCACUCGCCAGAAUGGAUACUGGAACUAACAUACGUUUAGAGUUUGUGAGAUUUUUCGGCGCUCUCUCUUAAUUUUUUGUUUUGUUUGUUUUUUGUCUAAAAAUAUGUUACCUGUGCCUUUUGUAUUCAUUUAAAAUUUUACAGACAAUGGAAAAAGAGAAAAAUGUUUUUUCCUGUCAAAUUUCCUGUCAGUUCAAAAAUUAACGCAGCAAGAUAAGAUUUGGACAAUCAGGAUUUAUACGAAAAAUUGCUUUUUUCAAAGGCAGUUGAAAACGCUAUUUUCUUCUACUUACAUUGUUAGCACCAAAAAUAUUGAUUAAAAAUUGUAUUUAUUUUCUGUGACAGCCUCCAUAGUUCAUAUCAACUCAGUAUUACUUUAUGUUUUAGCUUUUUACCUUUGUUAUACUAUAUUUAUUUUUUAUUCUUCAGCUGAAUGCUUUCAUAAUAAUGUAUUUACACAAAAUUUGAUCGCUUACUUUGAAUAAAAUCAAGAAAAUGUGAUUUGGUAACUUCAGUUCACCAACUUUGAUUUCUUUACUUUGAAGUUAUCAGCUUUGCAAUACUCUUAAGAAUAUUUGGUAAUAAUUUUACGUCAUAAUUUUCAUUAGUUUACAGAACAAGCAUUACCAAUGGGGUGUUCCUUAAAUCAGACCAGGAACGGAGCCGAACUUUUCACUGCUUUAAUUUUGUAAUUUGAAAUCAGGUUUGAGAAGAAAAAAAUAGAAUAUUUUUUCCAUCAGUCACAUGCUAACUAUACCUCCAUUUUUUAAACCUUUAAAAUUCAUUCUAGAUGGGUCUUAAUUCAAGUGAGUCUGACAAGUGAGCCUAAUUUUUUCUAUUGAAUAUAUGAGAUCACAGAGAGCAAUGCAGGUGUCACAAUAUGGGAUUAAAACAGAAAAUGAACAUGAAUGUUACUAGAAAAAAUGUAAUUUAAAUAUUGAGAAAUAAAUAAUGGAACAAAGAACAAAUGAACGCAGAUGAAAUGUAUAACUAUUUGUUACAAUAACUAGAAAGAGUAAAUAAAACAGAAAAUGAACAUAAAUGUUACGAGAAAAAAUGUAAUUUAAAUACUGAGAAAUAAAUAAUGGAACAAAGAACAAAUGAACACAAAUAAAAUGUAUAACUAUUUGUUACAAUAACUAGGAAGAGUAAAUAAACAAUGUUAACUGCUAAUUUUGGUAUCUAUCGGCAUUUGAGACAAUUUUUUUACCUUUUUGUAUUUUGCUUUGCUUUUUUUGAAAAAAUAUAAAGAGACCAGCAGUUAGCCAAAAAAAGAAAUUUUCUUGAAAUUACAAUGACUCUAGGGGUUUGAAAUCAAACCGGAAACAAAGAGUUAUUUGAAGGCUGAACGGUUAGGCUAUUAGUGUUUUGGUUUCUAUCAAGGCUGUAAAAAUUGAUACAUCAGAAAUAUGUAUGAAGAUAAGUUUAACCAACAGAUUUUUCAGAUUUCACUAUAUUAAUUAAACAAUUAACAGUAAGUAAAAGCUCGUACUUAUAGAAGCGACAUAAGAGCGGAGUAUAGAGUUUACGGCAGAACAACCCCACACAAAAAACAAUAAGUUUAAUCGUAGCAGCCCAAAGAAUAAGGAUUAAAUUAUCUCCUUCAACUAGAUAUCACUUUUUACAAACUUUUUCCUAUAAACAAACAAUUAAUCAGCUGAGAAAUUUUUUAAAUCAUGGUUCAAAAUGGUUUAAGAGCACCAGAUGUAUCUCUAUAAACUUAUGUUUAGGGUAAUCAGUCUACUUCAAAAAAAAAAAAAAAAAAGAACCGAAGAAUAAAAUGGUAGGAACUAUCAUAACCUUAAAAUAAAUAAAAAAUUGCCCGCUUGCACCAGGAUCACAGAGAAAGUAGGAAGAUAAAAUUAAGGAUAACAAUUUGUCACAAGAAUACAAAGGAAAAACAAAACGAUGCUCUACACAACGUCUAGA
rnacentral:lncRNA from 1 species